GACGGACCAGGGAGGGGUCCGCGCCAAGACCCGCCUCCGAACCAGGCCCCACCUCCUGAGCCAGGGCCCCGCCCCCGAUUCUGACUCCGCCCUCUCUGUCCUUCGGUGGAGACUCCGGGAAAAACCUGCCUCCCGGUCUGCCCUCUCUCCGUCUGUCUGUGCUUGUUUUUCUACGUUUAUCCCUGUCGCUUUCCCCACUUAUUCUGCAGGCAUGGCGCGCCCCCAGUGCCGGCUCGGUGCCAGGGCUGGGAGAUCCGGGGGUGAAUCGUGAGCCCGGCCCACAGCGAGCUUGCAGUCUAGAGAUCAAGGCAGUCUUGUCCACAACCUGCUGUCACACCAAGCAAAUGUAGCUGGUGUAGCACCAGGGGCUGCAAUCAAGUGCGGUGGGGCGGCAAUAGUGACCACGGAAAUAAUCAGAAUUGCUUCUAAUUCAGCUCCUACUAUAUUCCCGUCAUCCCUGAGCCUCACAAUCAUCCUCCAAGAGAGACAGUAUAAGAAUCCAAGUCAACCUGAGUCCAAAACCAGUGGCCCUUACACUGUGUGGCUUUAUGGAGGAGAUGGAGUUUAAGUUUACCUUCAAGGAUGAGCAACACUUUUCUUCAAGCAGAAAAAGAAGGGAAUGGGUGAACACGGUCCCAGGAUAUUCGCUUUGGCAGAUGAUUAGAAUACGUGCUGACUUGAUAGCCGCAACUGUCCUGAUACGAAAGUACGCCGGCCUGGCUGGGCGUGGUGGCUCACGCCUGUAAUCCGAGGAUUUUGGGAGGCCGAGGCGGGCGGAUCACUUGAUGUCAGGAGUUUGAGACCAGCAUGUCCAACAUGGUGAAACCCCGUCUGUACUAAAAAUACAAUAAUUAGCCGAGCAUGAUGGCAUGUGCCUGUAAUCCCAGCUAUUUGGGAGGCUGAGGCAAGAGAAUCGCUUGAACCUGGAAGGCAGAGGUUGCAGUUACUUUCCCGACAUUGCACCACUGCACUCCAGCCUUGGCGACAAGAGCGAAAUUUUGUCUCAAAAAAGAAAGAAAGAAAGCACUCAGGCCUGUCCGAGGACCACAGCAGUGGACAUGGAGGGAGGAGGCUGGGGGUAGUUGAAUUGGUAUGAUAUGUCACUGAGUAAACGAAGGAAGGGACAGAAAGAGAACUGCAAAGUGUCAAAAGCCUGGACAACAGAGAGAAAGCAUCCUUGUUAUAUCAUUUAAAGCACCUGUUGGGCCAAAUAGGGAGCACCUUUCAGAAUCCAUGUGCACAAGAUCUCAGCAAUUCUACGUCCAAGAAUGUAACCUACAUCCAAGAAUGUACUGGAAUUUAAUUCCACAUCCAAGAAUCCCCAUAGGUAGCAAAGAUGUAUAUUUAAGGGUAUUCUCUCAGCUUUGUUUUUAUGUUAGGAGAUUGGGAACAACCUAAAUGCCCAUCAGCUGGUGACUGGCUAGGUUAACUAUUCACAAAUGGAAUACUAGGUAGUCUCCUAAAAGAGGAAAGCAAUUCUACAUAUCCUGAUACAGUGUAGUCACCAGAUAGAUGGCUAAGAUACAAAUAAAACAAACAAGUUGCAGUGUUAGAGUAUGCUAUGUAUCACUCCUUUUUAAGGACAAAAAGAGGAUAUACUUUAACUUUUUAAGAUACCAAAGUAUUUAUUUAUUUAAAAUUUUUUUUCACAGAAUUGUUAUAGCAUGUAGAACCAAAAAUUAUUUACAAAUGAAAUUAUUCAAUGUCUGAGAUUUGUGUCAAAAUAAUGGUAUGGGGGUUUAGUGAGUAAGCAUGUAGGUAGAACAAGAUUGUCCAUGAGCUUAUAGUUGUUGAAGCUGGAUGAUCACCUGGGUGUUUUAUACUAUUUGGGUGUUAAACUAUUUUUUUUU